rnacentral:rRNA from 1 species
GACGAACGCUGGCGGCGUGCUUAACACAUGCAAGUCGAACGGAAAGGCCCUGCUUUUGUGGGGUGCUCGAGUGGCGAACGGGUGAGUAACACGUGAGUAACCUGCCCUUGACUUUGGGAUAACUUCAGGAAACUGGGGCUAAUACCGGAUAGGAGCUCCUGCUGCAUGGGGGGGGUUGGAAAGUUUCGGCGGUUGGGGAUGGACUCGCGGCUUAUCAGCUUGUUGGUGGGGUAGUGGCUUACCAAGGCUUUGACGGGUAGCCGGCCUGAGAGGGUGACCGGCCACAUUGGGACUGAGAUACGGCCCAGCCUCCUACGGGAGGCAGCAGUGGGGAAUAUUGCACAAUGGGCGGAAGCCUGAUGCAGCAACGCCGCGUGCGGGAUGACGGCCUUCGGGUUGUAAACCGCUUUCGCCUGUGACGAAGCGUGAGUGACGGUAAUGUGUAAAGAAGCACCGGCUAACUACGUG